UCCUCAGUAGGGCAAGCUUGAACUCCCCUGCUUCUCCAUUGGCCUUACUCUUGCUGUCACUCUGCUGCUGUACCAGGAAUGGGUGGAGCAUCAGAAUGUUAAUGCCUCGUGUCUUCUGUGAAGGAUAGUAGAAUUCGCCACUGCUUUGACCUUUCUAAUGUGCUGCGUUUCGAUUGGGUCUGGAAGUUGAUGAUUAAUGAUAAUUACAAUAAUUACACCACGGGACUCUGUUCAAAGGAAGCCACUUGAAACAUUUAAUAGAAUCUUGAACAAUCUCUGUCCCGAUGUCCCCAUCUCUCCUCCUGCACCCCCAUCACAUGUUCCUGGAACCGAAUAGGUGACGAACUAUCUCCUGGCCCAGGCCCUUCCUUUUCCAUUAGCAAGUUGGAACACAUCCACAGGAGUGUGAGAGUUGGCUUCCUAACGUCUGGGUCCAAUGAAGUCAACAUCUGAGUGCAAAGCUCAGCCCUGCAGAGGCUGCCCUACAGUCUCGUGAGGGCUUUGUAUUUACUUAUGUGAUGGAUUCCCUGCUGGACCCCUGAACUUGAAAGUACAGACCAUGGCUGUUUCAUUGCCAUGUUUAUCACCU